AUGGCGCUGGGAGAAUGGGGCUCACCAAGGCGGCUCCAGGACACGAUGGGGCGGGGGUUGCCUGUGGCAACACACUCCAACACAGCAGUCUGGUGCACAGUCAGGGUCAGGUUCUCAGGCCCCACGAGGAUUGUCGGCUCCUUGUAGGCACCGGAGCCGGAGCCUGGGAAGGGGAAAACACCACCAUGUCCGUCCUGAAUGAGCUAAGAGCCACAGAGGGCGUCACACCAUCCGUGGACCCCAUUCUGACAACUCUGCAUGCCCAGGCAACACAGGAAGGGGUGAAACAAAGCUCUCCAGAUGGGAACAUGGGGAGGGACAGGGCUCUGCAGUCUAGAACUCGGGGAAAAUUGAGCCACCAACCAUGGAAAGCCUAUCUCUGAAUGAACUCUCCAAUCUUCCUCCCCUUGGAAAAAAGAUCUCAGCUCAGGCAGCUGAAUGAUGGAGAAGAUAUUUAGCUGCAGAUGACCACCAUCCAUUUGGACCUUCAUGAGUCUCUUUCCACACGGGGCUGCUCACUCACCUGUCAUUCCUCGUGUCAAUGGGGAUAUGGGAUAUGGUUCUUCUCCCACAAGAUGAGGGGCUUGGGCAGCCCGUGGAUCUGGCACUGGAACCUGGCCACUCCACCCUCCUCACCCACCGUGGCCUGUGGGUGCACAUGAAAGUCCGACAUGGCUGGCAAGAGAGAAGAGGAGAAAGGAGAGAAGUUGGGAUCAGGAAGGACAUCAAGAAUUUGACUCAGAGAGGGCUGUGGGAAGAGCUCUGGGGUGACAUCCCUCCAGAUACCACAUCAUUCAUUCCUAGUUGCAUUUUAAAGUAUUUGAAAAGAAAAAAGAAAGGGGGGGGGGAAUGACAAAAAAAAGGAAUAUUGCAAAACUACACAAAGAAUAAGAAUGUCCCCAAAGAAGAGAUCAGAGAAGAUAUUUUCCUCACUCUUUUGCAGAGAAAUCUUUUGCUAUAUAUGAUAGAUCUCUUGGAAAGAAAGAAGGAAGGCUUUUACAAGAAGGAAACUUAAGGGAUAUAAAAACAAAAGACAUCGAAUAGCCUGUCAAUUAUAUGUAUUGUUGGCUCUCCAGCUAGAAUGUAAGGUCCGUGAGGACAGGCCUGUUUCAUUCUUGUCUUUGUAUCCCUGGUGACUGUUCAGUGCCUGGCCUAUAGUAGUCAAUUAAUAAAUGUUUGUGGGUUGAUCAGUUGGUUGGCUGGUUGGACAACUCCCACCAUCCUUGUAUCUGUAUUGAGAUUUCCUACCUCUGAAUCUUGGGGUGUGGGUUUCCACACCUUCAUUUCAAUUCAAUCUCCUCCCAAUUCCAGUUACAUUUAUGCCUUGAAAUACUAUCAGUCCCUACACCGUGGCACAAGAAUGUAAUGGACUUCCCUACUAGCAGCAAUGCCCAGGACAAUCCAGAGAAACUUAUGAGAAAGAACACUAUCCACAUCCAGAGGAAGAACUGUGGGAGCAGAUACAGAAGAAAAACAUGAUCAAUCACAUGGUUUGAUGGGGAUAGGAUUGGGAGUGCAGACUCUAAAUGAUCUCUCUACUGCAAAUAGUAAUAACAUGGAAAUAGGUUUUAAACAAUGAUAUAUGUAAAACCCAGUGGAAUUGCUUGUCAGCUCUGAGAGUGGGGAGGGAAAGAACAUGAAUCAUGUAACCAUGAAAAAAUAUUCUUAAUUAAUUAAAUAAAAAUUUAAAAAAUGAAAAAUGAAAAAAAAG